ACCAAAGUACUAAAAUAAUAAAACACCACAAUCUAAUCAAUGUACUAAAAUUAUAUAUAUUUGGGCCUAUCACUUUUGUCUAUUUAUUUUCUUUUAGCCCAUUUAUCCUUAUUCAAUUGGGCCACUUUUAAUAUAACCAUUUAUUAUAAGUCCUAUUUCAUUCCUGCAGCCAACAUAAAUCUCUUCCUCUAAACCCUUCUACACGUUUUCUUUAUUCACCAAAACCUCUACUCCUAAAAUCUCUCCACCACUCCUAAAAUCCCUCCAACCAAAUAACCCCCAAUUAACGCCACAUACAUGUAUAUAUCUUCCAUGCAAUCUCAGCAAAAUACCAUCUUCCGUUCUGCAAUUUUUCUUCUCCUUCAAUAAGUGGGAAGGAGAAACUGAGAGUGCUGUGAUUACCGUGUUGUGUGCGAAUUUUGCUUCUUUCCAAGGGUGAACUUGUGCACGUUGUUGCGGUUUGGAACAGAAAGUGAUUAAGGAGUAAGCAUUUGAGAUUGAGCGGCGAUGGACGAUGAGGAUGUUGAGCAGAGUUCAUGGAUUGUUCUGUCAUGAUUAAUAAUGUUGGAUUUGUCGUGUCUUCAUACUUGGCAUUUUCCGUGUCUUGAACGCUUCCGCUAGGAGUACUUUUCUUUAGAAUUGUUUAUUCGUGCAGAGUCUAACUCGUUGAAAAUUGUUUAUUGUCCAUUCUUUAUUUACUUAGAGUUGGUAUUAUUGUUAGGAUAAUAUUAUGACGUUUUCAAAGUUAAUUCAGUUAGUAAAUUUUUGGUCAAA